UAAUUUUUCUAUCCAUUUUCACAACUUCUGUUAGGGUGAGUCACCGUUUGUCCACGUAGACAUCGACACCUCAAGUUAAAAACUACGCCGUUUUUAAUGUUGGCUUUACACAUCAGCCCCAACGCAUGCGAAAUUUCUUUAAGCAAGAACCUGAGGCUUGAAGAACGUCAACUCUUAGGGAAGGAUGAUUAGAAAAGAAAAAAAGUUAGAAGAAGGAGAAGGAGCGGGUGGAAUUGAAGACUUCUCUAAUCAAACCCAUGCAAAUAAGGGUUUACAAUCACCGUCACGUCCUGGGAAGCACUUCUUUGGGUGUGCCAUGUAUGAUGCACAAAGGAAAGCCGGGCAAUGUCGUUUUUUCCAUUGGUUUGACAAAGAGACAUGUCCCCAUGGAAAGGAAUUACUACCUCCAUUGCGUGAUGAAUUGAAGUGCUUGAAGGAAAAGGUAAUACAACUUAGAGCAUGGA